GCGGCCGUGGCGGAACCGGUAGACGCGCAGCGUUGAGGGCGCUGUGGGGGAAACCCCGUGGAAGUUCGACUCUUCUCGGCCGCACCA
rnacentral:tRNA from 1 species